CACGUCAGUGCGAGUUGCUGACGUGGCAGCAAAUCGCGCCCUUAAGAAUACGAUUUGCUGUCACGUCAGCAAAUUGCACUGACGUGU
rfam:Gossypium hirsutum cultivar TM-1 chromosome 7, whole genome shotgun sequence